rnacentral:rRNA from 1 species
CCUUUAGGUUCGGAACAACACAGGGAAACUUGUGCUAAUACCGGAUAAGCCCUUCGGGGGAAAGAUUUAUCGCCUUUAGAGCAGCCCGCGUCUGAUUAGCUUGUUGGUGAGGUAAUGGCUCACCAAGGCGACGAUCAGUAGCUGGUCUGAGAGGAUGGCCAGCCACAUUGGGACUGAGACACGGCCCAAACUCCUACGGGAGGCAGCAGUGGGGAAUCUUGCGCAAUGGGCGAAAGCCUGACGCAGCCAUGCCGCGUGGAUGAUGAAGGUCUUAGGAUUGUAAAAUCCUUUCACCGGGGACGAUAAUGACGGUACCCGGAGAAGAAGCCCCGGCUAACUUCGUGCCAGCAGCCGCGGUAAUACGAAGGGGGCUAGCGUUGCUCGGAAUUACUGGGCGUAAAGGGAGCGUAGGCGGAUCGUUAAGUUGGGGGUGAAAGCCCGGGGCUCAACCUCGGAAAUGCCUUCAAUACUGGCGAUCUUGAGUAUGGGAGAGGUGAGUGGAACUCCGAGUGUAGAGGUGAAAUUCGUAGAUAUUCGGAAGAACACCAGUGGCGAAGGCGACUCACUGGCCCAUUACUGACGCUGAGGCUCGAAAGCGUGGGGAGCAAACAGGAUUAGAUACCCUGGUAGUCCACGCUGUAAACGAUGAGUGCUAGUUGUCGGCAUGCAUGCAUGUCGGUGACGCAGCUAACGCAUUAAGCACUCCGCC